GACGAAGGUGGCAAGCGUUACUCGGAAUUACUAGGCGUAAAGCGUGAGCAAGCGGUUGGGCAAGUCUGUUGUGAAAGCCCCGGGCUCAACCCGGGGAGGUCAAUGGAAACUGCCUGACUUGAAUAUGGGAGAGGUGACUGGAAUUCCUGGUGUAGCGGUGAAAUGCGUAGAUAUCAGGAGGAACACCAAUGGCGAAAGCAGGUCACUGGACCAUUAUUGACGCCCAUUCACGAAAGCUGGGGGAUCAAACAGG
rnacentral:rRNA from 1 species